UGGGGAUGACGUCAAGCCUCAUGGCCUUUAUGCCCAGGGCUACACACGUGCUACAAUGGGCGGUACAAAGAGAAGCAACCUCGCGAGGGUGAGCAAAUCUCAAAAAAGCCGUUCUCAGUUCGGAUUGAAGUCUGCAACUCGACUUCAUGAAGUCGGAAUCGCUAGUAAUCGCGGAUCAGCAUGCCCGCGGUCCGAAUACGUUCCCGGGCCUU
rnacentral:rRNA from 1 species